UGCUUGCAAUACACUUGUAGAACCAUUAUCAAGAGACAGGAAGUAUUGUACCAGAAGAAGUAUUACGACAAUUAUCCACUGGGCAAGCAAUUGUGAGUAUAUCCUCAUUCUAAUCUCAACAUGUUUUGUAGCUGCAAAUCCAACAACAUUUUAAGAUGGAAAGAAAGUAGAAACUCUACAUCAAAUUCCACUUACUCUUGUAACUUUGUUUGCAUUCAAGCCACUGGUUCUUCUCAUGCUACCUCAUAAUCUGCCAAUAAUGCUACUAAUGUUGGCCACACCAAUGAGGAUCAUUAUGUUGCAAACGUUGGCAACAAUCAAGGUUCUGACAACAAUGAAGAUCAUGCAUCGAUAAUUUGGAUCAAUGAUGCUAAACAUGGAUGUGGUGGUGGAUUCUUCUUUUGUAGAGUUGUGCUUUUCCACAUUAACUAGUAGGCGCCACUAAUCUGGGUAGCUUUAGUUUUAGCUAUAAUAUGACUCAAUAAUGCAUGUUGGUAUUUUAUUCAUCUUAGCUGAAACUUGAAUUGGCUGAAUGAGAUGGUAAUGCUUUUGAAUGUAAUGAUGCCAAACCAUUUGGACAUCUACAUAUAGCUUGGAUGCUAUGAAUUAAUGUAAUGAACAUUUGGAUCUUUAUAUGUAUGCUAUUUAUUAUGUUGUAUGGACAGCCAAUAUUUGAAUAUGUUGUUGGUACUGUUUCCAAAUAAUUAUUGUAUCCAAUUUGUUAUUUAGUUUUUCUGUCAA
rnacentral:lncRNA from 1 species